AGAGUUUGAUCCUGGCUCAGGACAAACGCUGGCGGCGUGCAUAAAACAUGCAAGUCGAACGGACUUCAGUCCGCAAGGACUGAAGUGAGUGGCGAACGGCUGAGUAACACGUAGGUGACCUGCCCCGAAGUUUGGGAUAACACCUCGAAAGUGGUGCUAAUACCGGAUGUGACCACCGAUUCAUUUCGGUGCUUAAAGUCGCAAGACGCUUUGGGAGGGGCCUGCGGCGGAUUAGCUAGUUGGUGUGGUAACGGCACACCAAGGCUUCGAUCCGUAGCUGGUCUGAGAGGAUGGCCAGCCAGACUGGGACUGAGACACGGCCCAGACUCCUACGGGAGGCAGCAGUUAGGAAUUUUGCGCAAUGGAGGAAACUCUGACGCAGCCACGCCGCGUGAGGGAUGAAGGCCUUCGGGUCGUAAACCUCUUUUCUCAGGGAAGACACCCGACGGUACCUGAGGAAUAAGCAACGGCUAACUACGUGCCAGCAGCGGCGGUAAUUC
rnacentral:rRNA from 1 species